AUGGCAUCGCUCUCGUCCCUUACGUCUCUCACCUAUCUAAGCAUACAAGAUUGUAAGAAUUUCAAAGUGGAUGGGUUUAAUCUUCUCAUGGCUUCCAACCACAAGGUUUUGGCGGUCCACAACAUAAUUGAAAAUUACCCUCGCUCUGUAGCCGCGGAUCUUCUCUCGGAAUUGGCGGUGGAAAUAACAAGGAGUAAAAAGUUAUUACCACCUACAGCUGGCUCUUUACUCCAGUUGGAAAGACUUGAUGUGGAUAGCAUCUCAGUUGUGCUUGUUGCUCCAGUUUGUCGACUACUCGCCGCUACCCUGAAGGAGUUAGUGAUCACGUGUGAUCGAGAGGUGGAGAACCUCACGAAAGAUGAAGAGAAAGCGCUUCAGCUCCUCACCUCACUCCAAGAACUAAUUUUUUGGAGGUGCCGGCGUCUGCGGUCCUUCCCUCAAGGGUUACACGACCUUCCUUCUCUCAGGACACUAGAAGCCAUCAGCUGUCGAAAAAUCCGACCGCUGCCCAAGAAGGGAUUCCCCACUUCUCUGCGGGAGCUAUCAAUAAAUGAAUGCAGUCGCAAGCUACACAAUCAAGCCAAGAAACUAAAUCGAAGAAAUUUGUCUGUAAGCUCCUAG
rnacentral:rRNA from 1 species